rnacentral:rRNA from 1 species
GGGUGAGAUUUAUCCUGGCUAGAUUAACGCUGGCGGCAUGCUUUACACAUGCAAGUCGAACGGUAACAGGCCGCAAGGUGCUGACGAGUGGCGAACGGGUGAGUAAUGCAUCGGAACGUGCCCAGUCGUGGGGGAUAACGCAGCGAAAGUUGCGCUAAUACCGCAUACGAUCUAUGGAUGAAAGCGGGGGACCGUAAGGCCUCGCGCGAUUGGAGCGGCCGAUGUCAGAUUAGGUAGUUGGUGGGGUAAAGGCUCACCAAGCCGACGAUCUGUAGCUGGUCUGAGAGGACGACCAGCCACACUGGGACUGAGACACGGCCCAGACUCCUACGGGAGGCAGCAGUGGGGAAUUUUGGACAAUGGGCGCAAGCCUGAUCCAGCAAUGCCGCGUGCAGGAAGAAGGCCUUCGGGUUGUAAACUGCUUUUGUACGGAACGAAACGGUCCUGGUUAAUACCCGGGGCUAAUGACGG